AGUGGCUAGUAUUGGGGCGUAUGCUUUGUUUAGUUGGUCAGGUCUGAAAAGAAGCAGCCAGAGCUUUCGCAAACGGGUUUGGUACUAGCUAUAGUA
rnacentral:SRP_RNA from 1 species